GCUCUUCUCCUAUCCCUUGAAAAAUUCAGGGGUUUUCUUAUUAAAAAAAAAAAAACUUUUUGGAGGGUCGGUACCUAGAACUUUAUCAACUCUCCCCCUACCUCUUGAAAAAAAAAAACAUAGGUUUAUUUUUAUUUUUUGGAAGGUCGGUACCUUGAUCUUUACCAACUUUUCCCAUAUUUUUCUAUUGUUUUAGCAACUUAAAAUGCUUUUUACUAAAUCUAAAACAUUAAAAAGAUAAAUAAAUAAAAGUCCAUCAAAAUAUUUUCUUCCGGGCAAACAAAAAGCCACUUAUUUCCAUCAACAAUGACAAAAACCUCAAGUUCUUGGAGUUCAUUCUACAUCAAUUUGGAAGAUUUGAUUGGAUCGAUUUCUUAAAACUCAAUAUUCAAUAUCAUAUUGAGUUUGAGGAGAGAGUGUUAAAGAUAGAAAUAUUGUAUAGAAUAUUUUCCAUGAUUUUUUUCCAUUUAGUGUAGAAUUAUUUUCCUUUUACAAUUAUUUCCUU
rnacentral:lncRNA from 1 species